GAUGAAGAACGCAGCGAAAUGCGAUAAGUAGUGUGAAUUGCAGAAUUCAGUGAAUCAUCGAAUCUUUGAACGCACAUUGCGCCCCUUGGUAUCCCGAGGGGCAUGCCUGUUCGAGCGUCAUUUCACCACUCAAGCCUGGCUUGGUGUUGGGCGACGUCCCCUUUAGGGACGCGCCUCGAAACGCUCGGCGGCGUGGCACCGGCUUUAAGCGUAGCAGAAUCUUUCGCUUUGGAAGUCGGGGCCCCGCCUGCCGGAAUACCUUCUCGUAAGGUUGACCUCGGAUCAGGCAGGGAUACCCGCUGAACUUAAGCAUAUCAAUAAGCGGAGGA
rnacentral:misc_RNA from 1 species